CGCUGAAGGGAGAGCUUGCUCUUCUGGAUGAGUUGCGAACGGGUGAGUAACGCGUAGGUAACCUGCCUGGUAGUGGGGGAUAACUAUUGGAAACGAUAGCUAAUACCGCAUAAUAACAGUUGUUGCAUGACAACUGUUUGAAAGGUGCAAUUGCAUCACUACCAGAUGGACCUGCGUUGUAUUAGCUAGUUGGUGGGGUAACGGCUCACCAAGGCGACGAUACAUAGCCGACCUGAGAGGGUGAUCGGCCACACUGGGACUGAGACACGGCCCAGACUCCUACGGGAGGCAGCAGUAGGGAAUCUUCGGCAAUGGACGAAAGUCUGACCGAGCAACGCCGCGUGAGUGAAGAAGGUUUUCGGAUCGUAAAGCUCUGUUGUAAGAGAAGAACGAGUGUGAGAGUGGAAAGUUCACACUGUGACGGUAUCUUACCAGAAAGGGACGGCUAACUACGUGCCAGCAGCCGCGGUAAUACGUAGGUCCCGAGCGUUGUCCGGAUUUAUUGGGCGUAAAGCGAGCGCAGGCGGUUAGAUAAGUCUGAAGUUAAAGGCUGUGGCUUAACCAUAGUACGCUUUGGAAACUGUUUAACUUGAGUGCAAGAGGGGAGAGUGGAAUUCCAUGUGUAGCGGUGAAAUGCGUAGAUAUAUGGAGGAACACCGGUGGCGAAGGCGGCUCUCUGGCUUGU
rnacentral:rRNA from 1 species